AAGGUGUUCAACAACAGUCAGAUUCAAUAUUGCAGUAGACAUGGUGUUUUAAUUAUGUGACACAGACUUCAGAUAAUCUUCGCGGUUAUUGUUUGCCUUCUGUUCUGACUGAAAGUAUUGGCUAUGUGCUGCAGGUACGAUCUGCUACACUCGACACAUGGCUUCCAGAACAGGUUGCAUUUAUUCAAAGAAUGGGAAAUGAGAAGUCAAAUAGCUACUGGGAAGCAGAACUGCCUCUAAAUUAUGACAGAAAUCUUUUGGUGGGCUCUAGUUGAUGAAUAGCCUGGAUCCAUCACACGUGCUGUGAAUCACCUUAGCACCCAUCUUCUAUGUAACAUCUGUUUGUUUGUGGUCUAAACACCUUCUUGGUCUUAUUGGAUGUCUUUCACUUAGCGAUACAAGAUUUCUUGUGCAUCAACUAAAGCUUUGUGUUUUCCUGAAUUGUGCAUGGUAAAAUGAGAUUUCACUAACUUGUUAGCAUGCUUGACUUGAGCUGACAAAACAGGUUUCUUCUAAUUCAAAAGCAGAGCCGGUCCCGGUGCAGGCUGAUUCAACACAGAAAGUGCAACCUACACCCAAUAUCCCACCUCCAAAGGUUGAUUAUGCCAGUGAUCUUUUCAAUAUGCUUUCUAUGGAUGGCCCAAGUCAAAAUGGGUGAUAUUUUUGGGAUCCAUGACAAGCUUGAAAGUUAUUCAUGUCCACUGUAAAGUAAAUGAGUCAAUGUCUUGCUUGUAAAUAUGUAGUUUUCACUUUCAAAUUGUUGAAAUCAUUGACCGGUAUGAGACAGUGCAUUCUAGAGAGCUCAAGAGGCAAUAAGCUUGCAUUUAUACAGGACCCGAAAAUGGACAAAACCUGCACCAGGACAAUAAUGAUGGGGUGUUAAGAAGCCUCAAAUCAUGGAAAAUUCUAUCACGAUCUUGUCGAGUGCAGGUCUUGGGAUGGUCAUGUUCAGUCUUGGUAAGUUCAUUGAUAUGCUCAUCAUGUUCAGUCUCGGUAAGAUCAUUGAUAUGCUCAUUCAACGCGAGGGGUGUCAUCAAGAAAUAUGACAGUCCUGAACAAAUUCUUGAAGAAUUCUUUCAUUUAAGACUUGAGUUCUAUGUAAAGAGAAAGAAAGUAAUGUUGGAUAAUCUUGAGAAGGAAGAAGCCCAGGUGGAGGAGGUGACAGGAUAGAUGGAGGGCAGGGCAGGCAAGCCUCUCGCUAAGGCUUCUAGACAAGUUGGAAAGAACCAAAGAAAGAACAACACCAAGAAAGCUAAUGAAGCAGAUACUGUUGUUGAAUCUGUAGCAUCAGUUAGUACUAUAGCUGAAACUGGACAUGUUUCCGAGGAGGCAAAACCCAAAGGCAGGGGAGCUCUGAAGAAGGCUCCUGCUAGAAAGGUGUGCUUGCAAAUCCUGAAU